rnacentral:tRNA from 1 species
UCCGAGGUAGCUCAGUGGCAGAGCAUCCGCCUGUUAAGCGGAAGUGCGUGAGUUCGAAUCUCACUCUCGGAG